rnacentral:lncRNA from 1 species
GGUGUUUAAAGCUGGUUAACAUAAAUAUGAGUAAUUUAUGAGUCAUCCAAUUAAUUACAUAACACUCCCCCUUGGAUGACUUGUACUAACAUCAAGCCUCGUUAAAACCUUACUAGGAAAAACCCAAUGGGAAAAACCCUGUGAAUGAAAAAGAGUACAUGUGUUGUACAUAAUGUAAUGUAAAGGAAAUACCAUAUCUCCCCCUCAUUUCAAUAUAUCUCGA